rnacentral:rRNA from 1 species
AGAGUUUGAUCAUGGCUCAGAACGAACGCUGGCGGCAGGCUUAACACAUGCAAGUCGAACGCCCCGCAAGGGGAGUGGCAGACGGGUGAGUAACGCGUGGGAAUCUACCUAGUUCUACGGAACAACUGAGGGAAACUUCAGCUAAUACCGUAUACGCCCUACGGGGGAAAGAUUUAUCGGAAUUAGAUGAGCCCGCGUAAGAUUAGCUAGUUGGUGGGGUAAUGGCCUACCAAGGCGACGAUCUUUAGCUGGUCUGAGAGGAUGAUCAGCCACACUGGGACUGAGACACGGCCCAGACUCCUACGGGAGGCAGCAGUGGGGAAUAUUGGACAAUGGGCGCAAGCCUGAUCCAGCCAUGCCGCGUGAGUGAUGAAGGCCUUAGGGUUGUAAAGCUCUUUCAGUGGGGAAGAUAAUGACGGUACCCACAGAAGAAGCCCCGGCUAACUUCGUGCCAGCAGCCGCGGUAAUACGAAGGGGGCUAGCGUUGUUCGGAUUUACUGGGCGUAAAGCGCACGUAGGCGGAUUGUUAAGUCAGGGGUGAAAUCCUGGAGCUCAACUCCAGAACUGCCUUUGAUACUGGCAAUCUAGAGUCCGGAAGAGGUGAGUGGAACUCCUAGUGUAGAGGUGGAAUUCGUAGAUAUUAGGAAGAACACCAGUGGCGAAGGCGGCUCACUGGUCCGGUACUGACGCUGAGGCGCGAAAGCGUGGGGAGCAAACAGGAUUAGAUACCCUAGUAGUCC